CCAGCAGCCGCGGUAAUUCCAGCUCUAAUAGCGUAUAUUAAAGUUGUUGCAGUUAAAAAGCUCGUAGUCGGAUGUCGGGCUCGGAGAGGCUGUCGGCCUUUGGUCGGACGGCAUCUCCGGGUCUUUCUGCCUGGGGAUCCUACUCUGCUUAACCGCAGGGUAGUGGGACGCAGGCCGUUUACUUUGAAAAAAUUAGAGUGUUCAAAGCAGGCUUACGCUUGAAUACAUUAGCAUGGAAUAAUGGAAUAGGACUUUGGUCUUAUUUGUUGGUUUAUGGGACUGAAGUAAUGAUUAACAGGGACAGUUGGGGCCGUUUAUAUUUCGUUGUCAGAGGUGAAAUUCUU
rnacentral:rRNA from 1 species